AUACGGAGGGUGCAAGCGUUACUCGGAAUCACAGGGCGUAAAGCGCGCGCAGGCGGGCUGAUAAGUUGGAUGUGAAAGCCUACGGCUCAACCGUAGAACUGCAUCCAAAACUGUCAGUCUAGAGUGUGGGAGAGGAAGAUGGAAUUAGUUGUGUAGGGGUAAAAUCCGUAGAGAUAACUAGGAAUACCAAAAGCGAAGGCAAUCUUCUGGAACACUACUGACGCUGAGGCGCGAAGGCGUGGGGAGCAAACAGGAUUAGAAACCCCGGUAGUCC
rnacentral:rRNA from 1 species